CCUACGGGAGGCAGCAGUGGGGAAUAUUGGGCAAUGGAGGAAACUCUGACCAAGCGACGCCGCGUGCGGGAUGAAGGCCUUCGGGUUGUAAACCGCUUUCAGCAGGGAAGAAGCGAAAGUGACGGUACCUGCAGAAGAAGCACCGGCUAACUAUGUGCCAGCAGCCGCGGUAAUACAUAGGGUGCAAGCGUUGUCCGGAAUUAUUGGGCGUAAAGAGCUCGUAGGUGGUUCGUCACGUCGGAUGUGAAAAUCUGGGGCUUAACCCCAGACCUGCAUUCGAUACGGGCGAGCUUGAGUAUGGUAGGGGAGUCUGGAAUUCCUGGUGUAGCGGUGGAAUGCGCAGAUAUCAGGAGGAACACCAAUGGCGAAGGCAGGACUCUGGGCCAUUACUGACACUGAGGAGCGAAAGCGUGGGGAGCGAACAGGAUUAGAUACCCUGGUAGUCCACGCCGUAAACGGUGGGCACUAGUUGUGGGGACCUUCCACGGUCUCUGCGACGCNGCUACGCAUAGUGCCCGCCGUCGGGAGGUACGAGUCGCGAAGAAUUAAAACUUAAAAUUAGAAGUUAGUACGGCGUGAGACGUGCCGACGGACGACGACGAGGGAGGUUAGG
rnacentral:rRNA from 1 species